AGUGAACGCUGGCGGCGUGCUUAACACAUGCAAGUCGAACGAGAACGGAAUAUAGCUUGCUAUAUUUGUCAGCUAAGUGGCGCACGGGUGAGUAAUGUAUAGAUAACCUGCCCUUAAGAAAGGAAUAACAGUUGGAAACGACUGCUAAUGCCCUAUAUGCCUUUAAUACAUAAGUAUGCAAGGGAAACGCUUUAGUGCUUAAGGAUGGGUCUGUAUGGUAUCAGCUUGUUGGUGAGGUAAUGGCUCACCAAGGCUAUGACGCCUAACUGGUUUGAGAGGAUGAUCAGUCACACUGGAACUGAGACACGGUCCAGACUCCUACGGGAGGCAGCAGUGGGGAAUAUUGCACAAUGGACGAAAGUCUGAUGCAGCAACGCCGCGUGGAGGAUGACACAUUUCGGUGCGUAAACUCCUUUUAUAUAGGAAGAUAAUGACGGUACUAUAUGAAUAAGCACCGGCUAACUCCGUGCCAGCCGCCGCCGUAA
rnacentral:rRNA from 1 species